UCGGAUGUGGUGUAUGGUGCACGCCUGCUGCUCAUUUGUAUUGUGUAUUAGUUGUGGCGGGAGGCCUGAGUUCGACUCUCAGCAUCCGAA